GGAGGGCACCUUUUGGGAUGAGCACUGGGUGUUGUAUGGAAACCAAUUUGACAGUAAAUUUCAUAUUUAAAAAAAUAAAUUAAUGGAAAGAUGUUUGAUGUUAUAGAUAAGAAUGUUUAAUAUUUUUAUGAUGGCAAUAUUUCCCAAAUUGACCUAUAGAUUCAACACAAUCUUUAUCAAAAUCUGAGUUGAUUUUGCUGCAGAACAUGACAAACUGUCCUAAAAUUACUUUAAAGGACCCAGAAUAGUUCAAAAUAAUCUUGGAAAAGAAGAAAAAAGUUGAAGGACUCACAAUCCUAUUUUAAAAACUUACUAUAAAGCUGUAGAAGUCAAGACAGCUUGGUGCUGGUGUAAGGACAAACACAGAUAAAUGGAAUCAAAUUGAAAAUCCAUAAAUAAACCUCCAAGAAAAGGGAGAGAGAAAAAUACAUAGAGCAAAAUCCAAAUUUCUAUCUUGAGAUAAAUGCUUCAAUAUAUCAUCUGUCUAUCCUGCUAUCAUAUUUGUUUUCAUGAUUCCCUAUGAAAUCAUUUUGGAAUAAAUAUAAUCAAUUGGAAUAAAUAUUUUCUGAUUGAAGUUUGGCAAUUGAAUCUUUUGUCACCGCAGAGAAAAGAGUCAGUAUUUCUCUUUUUCACUCCACUACAUUAUUCCCUAUCCACCUCCCUCGCCCCCAGCCCCAUGGCCAACCACCUGGUGAACUCUCUGGAAAGGGUAAACAUUAGCUGAUUUAAAUACACACUGAGGUAUAAACUAUUCAUAUCCCAAAUUUUCCUGAGGCUCAAAGGUCCUUGGAGGGUUAGUGAGCCAGAGUAUUCCAAAAGCAUUUCUGUGACCUCUGAAUCCAGACCCAGCCAAGUUACCAUGUCACCUAGGAUUAGGAUUCAGAGCAAGGCAGCUGACUUGGUAAGAGAAACUGCCUAAGCUCCAGUAAUAAAACUAUGGUUUGGUUGUUAGAGUUGCUAUAAAGUAGCAGUUGUUUUAAAAAUUGUGUUAAACUAGGAGAGUUGAGAGGAUUCAGUUAAGAUUUAGGAAGAUGUGAGGAACAUCCAGAGGCACCAAAUUUGAGAGAGUAUGAUAAGGAAAAAUAUUCUUUUUUCAGAAAUUUUAAGUAGGAAUGAGGCAGAUUGCUGCUGUUUCAGAAGGGACGGCGAGGGGACUGAACGAAACCAAUAAUUAAUCUUAUAAUAUAUGAGGCUGAAGGCAAUUAAAAUAAAAUGAAUACUAGUGACUUGAGUUUGUUUUGGAAUAGAGAACCUAUUUAAUAAUGAGGCAACUGCCCAGACUGAAAAGAAAUGUUUGGGGAGGGAUGAAGAAAAGUUUAUAAAGGCCAAAUUUAUUGAGCUCUUAAAAUAUGAUCAUGUUGGAGUGAAUUUCAGAAGUUGUGAUUAUUAAAACUACUUACUACUUCAUUUCUAUCCUGCCAAACCCUGCCAGUGAAAGAACACACAACUCACACUAUGGCAAUGGAAUUUAGAGAAUCCACAAAACUUCAUCAAUUGUCACAAAAACACACUGAAACUAACAAAAAUCUGUUUCGCCUACCUUUCAAAUGUUAGUUUCAUUUUGAAGAGUCUAUAAACCAUAUAUAGAGUUGUAAUGAAAAGAAAAACUAGCCCAGGAACUUUUUCAAAUGUUCUGAAGGUAUUAUGAUGUUCGUCUCCAAUACAGAUGUAUUUUCAGCUGUGCCCCUCCCUCCCCAUCCCAGUAGGCAGGCAAAUUCAGAUGAUAUGUGCUAUGGAACUAGAAAAUCUCAACAAAAUCAUAAUUUAAACAUCUAAUUAUGAUUCUUAAAGAAAACUCAAAUAUAUAAGCUUUUUCCUCUCAAUUAAAAACUACAAGCAGAUGAAUUUUAGGUUUUGGAUAUCAAUGUUAAAUAGAAUAUACGAGAUUGCUCAUAAGAGAUGGGGUGAGAGGGACAGGCGGCACAGGGAGGCAGCACCACUGGAAAUACACUGAUAAACAAUUAAAAAGAUUAAAUAGAAGGAAAUUGUCUACACAUUUUUACAGGAGAAGGUUAAUCUAAAACGACACCAGUCCCAAAAAGGUUAGCUGUCACAUUCAACAGCAGGGGCAUAUAGUGGUCACUGGCUACCGAAAGGAAGAAGUGGGUAAAUUUCUCCAGGUCACAUACUUUCCAGAAAGAUGAGCUCUUCAGUGUCUUUGGCUGGCCUGUGUUAUGAAGGCGUCCCAUUCUAUGGAAGGUUUUGUUAACCUAGCUAGAAGCAGGUCCUGAUUGGUCAUGGGAGAAUCCGGACUAAAUGGUAUACAUUUCUGAUGAUGUAAAAGUAAAUUAGAGAACAGGGCAAGUUAUUACACCAGAGAACGGAGGGCAAUGGGGAAUAAUAAAAAUCAGGCUACUCUAAUUUCCUUUGAACAACUAAAUAUAUACAGGUCAUUAUUUCCUGUAAUCCGCAGGCCUCCCAGUGCAAGUCCUGGCCCUGUGUUAAAGCCUCUGAGACAAAAACAACAAAAUGCAGUGUGGAGAGAAAUGAAAAACACUGUAAUGCUAUUUAAAGAAUGGAUUAAGUACAGUUUUCAGUUGCCAGCUUUCUUCUCAUCUUGGAAUGUUAAAUUAGAGAAGCAGGAGGGAAAUUCACCUUGUUUGAAAAAUUCAGAUGUCUCCCUACCAGCAAUUUCCAUUCAUAUUUUCUGUAGUCUGUUCCUGUACAUGGCUGGGGCAGCUGGGCUGCAUUCUAACUUCUGUUUGCCAAAGCAGAAUCAUAAAGGGAAUAGCAGUUUCUCCUUGAAUGGGGUUUAGGCUAUACUCAACAUUAUUUCUCUGGAGAUUGAUCUGAGUCCUUCAUUUCAAGUCUGGGCCAAAAGUGGUCCCUUUUCCCAGAUGGACACUAUACCAGUUGCAUAGGAGUGCGGAAGUCUCUUUUCCAGCCUUAGGUAGGUCUGUGCAUCCUCCCUAAUACAGGAGGGCUUGUAGGCAAACAAAAGCAGCUACUUAUAGGCCCAGGGCAUUCUGUGUGUUGGCAAGAGAAUAAUUGAGAAACAAUGAAGACUUUUUCCAGUGCUUUUGGCUCCAUGGACCCCUGACGUCCAAAUCACCUGAUGUGCUUAUUGUACAUACUGAUUCUUGGGCAUCUAAUCAAUUUUGCUAAAGGAUGGAACCCAGGAACUCUUUCAAAUGGUCCCGUUGAUUCUUACAAACACUAAAGUUUGGAAAUCACCGCUAGCCAUUCUUUACCUUUUCACCAAACUUAUCGAAAGGAACUGCUAGGGAUGUUUUUGUUAUCAUAUUUGUAUCUGGAGACAGCUAGAACUAAAUUCACUAUGACUGUGCCCAGUUUCUUCUCUAGGCACUGUCAUACUAUGUUGAAUAAGACUUUUUCCAAUGGUAUUAAAUUCUUGUACUACUCAGCUUGUGACAGUCCUACUGCAUUUCACGUGUCCUUAUUGUUUCACCCACAGGACCAUGCAUAAUCUAUGAAGAUUUGAUCACAUGGGGACUCUUAGCUCCCAGGCAGCUAGAUGGGGACAGAGAAUCUGAGUGAUGGCAGAGAGUUCUUACUCUGGGAGGCUGGCCUGGAAACACCAAAGUCUCACCUGUUCCCAGCAAAUCUAUCCAGAAAGACUGGAGAAUGUCCAGAGAUGGCAAAGGUUGAGUUGAGACCCUGAAAGCUGGCAGUGUUGAUCUGGGAGUUCAGCUUAAGGGAUGGGGGCAGUAAUAAAACAGAAAGGGGGCAGUUAGUUUGGUUAGAAAAAUAACAGGAUACAGCCAUCUAAUGUAUUUCUAAACAUGACUUUCUUCACUAUCCAAUAUUUAGAUAAAUACAGAAGACGUCCCUUUUACCUGGGAUAGUUCUCCUCAAGCUUCUUGUCCCAGUGCAAUCAUUAAUUGCUUAUGUGUUCCGUUUGGCUAAAAAUGGUAUGCAGAUCCAGUAAUAUCUUGUCCUCCCGUUACCUUUGCUGGUCCUAAAAAGAGACCACAUAUCCAAGUUCUAUAAUUAAAAGAUUAGUAAGCCCCUUUAAGGCUUUAUCAUUGCUUAGCCUUAGAACGAGUUUUAAUAAGGUGAGAGAAAUAACAGGUUCCAUUGGCACUAGACAUGGAGUGAGGGAGGAAUGACAUCCAAGAGAAUGGUGUAGGAUACAAAGAUUGAGGACAGGUUUAUGUCAGGCCAUGUCUGGUGCUACAGAAAACCCUGUUACUUCUGAUACUUUUUUUUUCUUUAAAAGAGAAGUUCUAGGGGCGCCUGGGUGGCUUGGUCAGUUAAGCGUCCGACUUCGGCUCAGGUCAUGAUCUCACGGUCCGUGAGUUCGAGCCCCGCGUCGGGCUCUGUGCUGACAGCUCAGAGCCUGGAGCCAGCUUCACAUUCUGUGUCUCCCUCUCUUUCUGCCCCUCCCCUGUUCAUGCUCUGUCUCUCUCUGUCUCAAAAAUAAAUAAACGUUAAAAAAAUUUUUUUAAAUAAAAAAUAAAAGAGAAGUUCUAUUUGUAAUUCAGAGCACACAAAAUAUUUAAACAUUAUCUUUUUAUCAAACCAUUGAAUACACUUAUUUUUAUAACUUUUCUCGACUGUUAAGUAAUAGUCUUGAAUAUUAAAUACUAACAUAUUUGAAAAUUACACCUUUACUCUGAUUUGCCUAGAUCUAAUAUUGCCAGCAAGCUUUUCCAGCUAUUUUCCCCCAAUCAUCUUUGGUAAUACUUUAAAUAUUACUAUGACAUAUUAGAAAUAAUAAAAAUCCCUACCUUUCCAGGAAAUGCUGCUAUUCUAGAAUCAUAGAAAAUUGGACACCUCGGAGUGCCUGGGGGGCUCGGUUGGGCGUCCGACUUCGGCUCAGGUCAUGACCUCGCGGUCCUGGGUUCGAGCCCCACAUCGGGCUCUGUGCUGACAGCUCAGAGCCUGGAGCUUGCUUUGCAUUACUGUGGCUCCCUCUCACUCUGUCCUUCCCCCACUCACUCUCUGUCUUUCUCUGUCUCUCAAAAAUUAAUAAAUGUUUAAAAAAUUAAAAAAAAAAAAGAAAAUUGGGCAUCUCUGUUUAAAGAAAGUAAUUGUCAUAGGUUCAGUUAGGCCUGGGAGGCAGAAAAGGAAGUGAAACAAAAUAGGGGGCUGAUAUUUAGUAUGUUCAAGUUGGGGGAAAAUAAGAUACUUUCAAUAGAACUGAGUUCUCUUGUCAUUGCCAGAAAGUGUCUCUGAGAAAAUAAACAUAUACACUCCCUUCCAAAAAAAAAAAAAAAAGUGAGAACAGGAUUUUUCCCCCCCUCUUAAUUUGCUGUUUGUUUCUAAAAAAAAUCCACCCCCACAUAGGUCACUUGGAAUUCAUUUUGUCUACAUCCUGGACUGCACGUAGGGAGACAAAAAAAAACCGCCUGGGAUUGGAGAGGAGGAAUGUGGCAGGGCAUGGGAAUCGCGGUGUCCUGGUGGUCACCGAGCAUAUUUUGGCUUGUCUUAAAACAAGCAAGCACCGUUGGACCUUUGGAAUCCUAACAAGUGAAGAAAUAUUAUUUCCUUCCUGACUCGCUGAAAAUUCAAGUAGAGAAGACCGUGAAGAAUCUGGGCAAUAUUUCUCAUAUUUAGUUCUGUAAGAUUUUAUUUAGUUGUGCUCUGACCCUGGGUACUCUUGAGAGCUAAGAGAUAUAGAAAAUGUCUUUUGGAGUUUGAGAACCGGGGUUCAAAAUCCUAAUCCUGUCUCCUUUUAUCCAUAGGAUUUGGGCAAGUUACUUAAGGUCUAUCACCAUUUUCUUAUCUGUAAAAUGGACUUAAUAAUAGUAUCUACCUGAAAGCAUUAUUGGAAGGAGUAAAUGAAUACUUCAUCUGUAGAACAAAUGUCUGUCACAAGAUAAGAAAUUUCAUUCUUAUUAUAGCCCCAUCAGUUGAUAUGUAUUACAGCAUCUAGGACUCUGAUAUGUAAAUUUUACUUAGACAUUUUUAUUCCUUUGUAUGUUUUUAAGAGUAAUGCCUUGAGACACUUUUCAUCUCUGUGUUCUUAAUGUAACAUCACAGUGUUUCACUCAAAGUUACUCCAUAAACAUUUGUUAAAUGGAUGGCUGGCUGGCUGGCUGGAUGGAUGGAUGGACAGAUGGAAGUAGAAAUAUACAGCAUCAGGGUUGGUCCUAAGCAAUCAUUUUCAAAUCAGGACGUGUAUAUCUGGGGGUAUCUCCUUUCUGUCAUCCCCUUCAACUGUUUAGAUAUUGUUGCCUUUCUAAGUUUGGACAUGCUCCAAGCCUUGUUUUUCCUCCUCUUUCUUAUCACAUUUUUCUUCUCUUCAGUUCUUCUAAGUGACUAUCUAGUUUGAUCAGUAAGUAAAAGGGGCUUUAUGUGUCAUGUCUUCAAGAUAGCUUGUAUAUUUUAUCAGAUAUUUUUUUUCUCACUGCUUCAUUCCACAGAAGUGACUAAUAUGGGGAUUUCAAGAGAGCUAUUACAAAAAAAAUUUUUUUUGUAGGAGGCUUUUGGACUUAAAAAAAAAAAAAACAAAACCUAUAAAACAUCUGCCUCCUUUACCUGGGGCUAAAGCUGACCCUGAGCAAUACUUUGUUCCAAUAAUAUGAACAGCUACAUAAACUCAUUUUGCAUGAAAAGGUAGGGGGUAAAUAUCGAAAGAAGGAGGCCAUCAGGAAGCCCCUGUGGCAUAUGCUGAGUUACAGUCCAGCAAUAAGAUUAACACAUGCACUUCAGCCCCUCUCCCCAUCCCCAAGGGAAGAGAAGCCUGAGUGUCAACAUGAAAUAUUCAAGUCUCAUAUUUUCCAGGUGUACAAGCCAAAUCUCGCAAUGAUGUUGGCGACUUCUUAGAGUUGCAAAAUAAUGGAGAAAUUUUCAAGUGAAUGAUUCUCUGGAUCUCUUAAGAAUAUUCUUUCUUUCUACAUGUUCUUUCAAACUUGGUAUUUCAACAGUGGUGGAAGGUCAAAGUGGAAUUCAGACAAGUGUCACAUAUUUUGCUGAGGCAACAGGUACGUAAUGAAGGCUUUUUAAAACUGCACAUACAAUGGAUGAAACAAGAAUUGCAUAAAAACUCUGAAGUUUAAUAUUCACUCUGUUGAGGCAUUUUCAGGCAGGUUGGGUAUAUGUCAUUAGCCAUUUUCCAAAUGCCUGGAUAAUGGCUCUUGGUUACUAAAAGAAUAUUAGAAGCCCUGUUGAAAGGGUCCUCAAACUACAGAGGAAGGUGAUAUGGGGUGGGGGAGAGGGUACUGCUGGCAUCGCCUUUUCCCUGUAAGCAAUCCCCACUCAUUGUGGGCGCCCCAAAAGAAGUUUGUGAAAGCAUAGAGGAGAAGGGGAAGGGUGAACGGGAAGGACUGAAAGGGAAGGGAAAACUAUCAUAGGGGGUGCAAAAGGAAAAGUCACAGAGGCAAGAAGAAACCUCCAAGAAUUGAAUUCUAUAGAUGCAAAGGAGAGAAAUAUUGAUUGGUGGCAGAUAGUACUUGAAGAAAGAUGGAACAGUGUGAGAAAUAAGGAACAGAAUGAGGAUAUAUUAUUUCCCUACUAUAUUGUGGGCAGAGUGGACCAUAGUCUGUUACACCAUCAACCUUCUAAUAUGGGUAUUUUGGGUCCCCACUUCAUAACAAUUGAGUUAGGGCUAACUGAGGUAAAGCCACACGUUUCAGGUCAGUGUUAAGUAAAUCAGUUCAGGGUUCCACAGCACACUGUCUGGUUCCAUCGAAUUUUUUUUUUUUUUCUGUACCUUCUGCACUUUUUUCUGGAACUUCUGCCUCACAGUGAGGCCUUUGAUUUGGCUCUAACCUGUUUCUUAGUUUCCCAGGUAAAAGGUGCAGACUCCAGAGGGAGUAGCAUGGUAUGGCCAAGAGAAAGCUGUCAUGGGAGUGGUAGAUCCCUUACUUCUAUUACAAGCCUCGUUACUAAGUAGCUGUGUGAUCUUAACCUCUAGUCUAUGUUCCUUUCUUCCUCAUCUGUGAAAUGAGGGAGUGGGGAUGCAGUGUUGUCUUAAGGUAGCUUUUGGCUUCAAUAUUCUGUGGUUCAAUUGAGUUAAAUGAAAGUGAAUGUAACCAGAUGAACGCUGGGCUUCUAGAAGUAAUGCAUUCAUGUACUCCCUAGCAAGUACGGGUUAUUGGAGUCACUGGGAGAAAUGCUUUAAAUUUAUAUUCCAUUUAGAAUAUCUGUUAGUAGAUGUGAAAGAAAUUACAUGAGAAUGCCGAACAAAUAUGAAGUUCAGAAGACAGAUAUUUCAAAACUUUUUGGAAAGAAAUCGAAGAGAAGAAAGAAGGGAAGUCGGUAGGAGAAAGGUUGAAUCAAAAUAUCCCCCCGCCCCCCCCUUUGGGGAAACAGCUGCAUUACUGAUGUUCCUUUCCUCAUACCAGAAUUGUGUACUUAUUUCAGAAUAUGGAAGCACUUGUAGCAUUUUCCCUCAUUCUUACUAGUUCCAAAGUGGAUUAUAUCCCUAGCUGGGUCAUUCCAUAUUCUUUAUUUUAAAACUUACUCUAAGUGUCUUAAAUAUUAACAAUUAAUCUAAUCUCUGUAUUUAAUUCAUAGACUUUUAAACUAAAAUAAUACAAGUUAUAAUCACUCUGCCUAAAUUAGACUUUAAAUCUCUAAUGCACUUUUAGAUUUCUAAAUUAUUUUUUAUUUACUAAACUAUUACAUUCUUUCUGCAAUGAGGUAGGUAUGAACAAAUAGAUUUAAUUGCAAAUACAUUAUGAAAUUUGAUCUUCACACAAUCUUAUGAGGAAGAUAAAGCAGAGUUUAUCAUUUUCAUGAAUGAAUCGCAGGCAGGGAAAGAUUACCUCUCUUCCAUUUUUUUUUUUUUAAUUUAGGAACCAUAUACCUUUAGAAAGGAAUGGUAAACUUGGAAGAAAGAAAAUUUUAAGUGAAUGUUUUUCAAGGGCAAUGUUGCGGUAUGCAUGCCCAGCAUGGUGAUGGGGGGGUGGGGGGAGUCACCCUGUGGCUACGUGGAAGGUAGUUCUUCCUGCUGUGCACCAUGCUGGGCUUGCCAUCCUGCGCAGGGCCCCCAUCCAACUCAGCUUGGUGAGAGCUACAUACUCUUUGAAGGACUUGCUCUGCUUGUGGAGGGAGGGACGCUUCGGGGGCUGCCACAGGUGGGAGUCGUUCCCAUCAGUGGCCAGCUGUUGCUGAUAAAGGAAGCUGGUCACUAGCUUCUCCAGCUGGAAGGCGCAAGCCAAAGCUUUCGCGGUGCUUCGCAGCGGGCAGUCCUGGAGCUUGGUUUCUGCGGAGGCUAUGCGGCCACGCAGAUACCGCGGCCACCUGGUCUUCUUCCUCCGGGAGUUCCCUCUCCUCCCUCUCCAACCGGGGCUGGUGCGGGAAGGACCCACAGAGCGCUUCAAAGGCCAAGUCGUCCUGGAAGUACAGGCAGGAGGCAUAAAGCACCAGGUGAAACCAAAUCCUCCUGCUAACACUAGUACCGGUCUUAAGUAUGAAAUGUGGGUAAGGGGAAGAAGAAGAAGGAAGAGCAGAGACUAUAUCCAUUUCUAUAGCUUACAAUAAAAUAUAAUAAAAAUUGUCUGAAAAUUACCACUUGCAAAAAUCAAUGAGAAUCUUUAAGAACUAAAUCCAUAUAUACUUGGGGGUUAAAGGGGAGCCAAACUGAAGAUAAAAUAUUUCCCUAAUAUUUCCCUCUACAAUGAUCUUGAGUUGAGAAUCAAUUUUGCUGUCACUAUUGACCAAGUAUAAAGAUAUGUUCUUUACAAAAUUCACAUCGCAGAAAUAUUUUGACAGCCUUCUUGUUUCAUGAGUUUUCACAGUCCUGAUCAGGAUAUGAAAAUGUUUUAUCUCAUUUUUCAAUACUGCACCGUUGGUGGUGACUUCAUGUUAUAUAUAUUGAAAAUUAUUCAUUCACUAUAAACUUUCCGUGAUUAACUUGCAAUGGCUGACAUUGGUAUGGAGACUGGGGUGAAAAUAUGUAGUUUUCUAUUCAACAUUAAGGAAAAUAGGAAUAGGAAUUGAAAAGAAAGCAUAAUAACAAAGGCUGGUAGAUAUUUGUGAUAUGUACAGAAAGUAAAAUGAAACAGGAAUAUUAUAUGAAGAAAUGAAAGAUUCCCAAGGACAGAACAAGGCUGAUGCUUCAAGAUCACAUGGAAAGAAAUUACAAGAUACUUGGCUUAAAACAAAUUUUAACAUUUUGGUAUUAAAAAAUUUUUUAAAAUAUGUACACUUAAAAGGUACUAAAAACAACUCAAACAAGAGCAAGUUUGUGGCUCUUUGAUGUAGGACAAAUUCAGGAAAGAGCCGUUGGAGCCCUAUGAGUGAGUUUUCCCAAAGGAUUAUAAAAGGAUGCAGUGCUGAGCCAGUGCACAUUCCUUCUCACGGUCUCCUUUACCUUUUCCCUGCUUCCUUUCUGAUGUCUCUUGUUGUUUAUGGCUGAACAUUUAGGGCUUCUUCCUUUUAACGAAUUCUUUAGCCUUUGACUUGCCUGUCACCACUGAAUUUUAUGCUUUUGUUGUAAGGCAGUGAGCUUGCUCCACACACAGUCCAAAUUGAGCAAAAACCCCUUCAAAGCCCCCUCCCCCACCCAAUGAUGGCAUUGUCCUUUUUAAUGUACGCUUAGAGAAUGAAACAAUCUGUUUCAAUCCUUGUGUUAGAACAGCUGGAAUGAUAUGAAUAGAGGGGGCUGAGCAGUUCUGCAAAAUCUUUGAUAAUAGAGAAGUACAAGUGUUCCCCAUCAGCAGUAGGAUGAUAAUUUCUCUGGUAUGAAUGAUGUAACCAAGUGGUUGUAUAUUACUGCCCCAUUCUUUCUUGUCCCAAGACACCCUUGGAAACGCGAUGCUACAUCUCAAUGGGAUUUUCCAGUACAAAGAUUCUUUUCAAAUAGCAUAAUUGUGGAUACACACCACUCCUACAGAGGUAAGUAUACUGAAGAUGUGCCAAAACAUUAGGGCAGAAAUUCAGUUCCCAUGGCACACAAGCAGGAAUCCAACCAUUUGCAGCAAUAAAUAAAUUUUUUUGUAGACUCCAAGAUUAUAAAGUAUACACUCUCUGUAAGACUCAAAUUGCUUGUUUAUUUGUUUUGAAGUAAAACAAUCUGAUAAAUGAAACAAAAAAAUUACACAAGAAUGCAGAAUAUUUUUGUUUCACAGCUGAAAUUGGUAUAUUUCUGUUGCUCUUCAACAUAGGAAGCCUAUAGGCAAUGAGAAGUGUUAGGAAGAGAUAACAAUUCUUUGCUUACUAUUGGUUGAACUUUCACUUCUUUGACUUUCAGAGACUAUGUAAACAAAACAAGCAAGCGAAAUAAAGAUGACAGAAAUACUAAAAUAUCUUCCAAUCUGAGAUUCAACCAAAAUUAAGCCCAAGAGAAAAAGAAGAGCAGACAUUCUAUUGGAGACAAAAUGGACAUAAGUAAAAAUUAGUUGGAUGUCCAAUUUCUGGAAAUCAUAUCCUAUGCACAGCAGUUGUAUAAACCUGUCUUUAGAGAGGUGAAGAUCUAUGUAGAACACAUAAUAGGCAUAAUUCGGACAACUCCAAGGGGAAAAAUUGAUGGAUAAACCAUAGAGGGGCAGAUAACCAGCUCAAAAUAAGAAAGAAAAUUUUAACUACAUGUACUUAACAGCAAUAAUGACCACCAUUACUAGGAGUUUAAGCAUAGAUAAUAGUAAGUAAGACCAAAAUAUUCCCUCCCUGAAUUUCCCAGGCCAUCAUGGUGAAGCUAUGAUGCUACAGUUUGUAUGUGAGGAGUUUUAUUCACUUAGGAGCACCAAGGGAAGUGAAAUAUAAGACUCUUCUGUUAAGGACUCUCUUCUGGUAAGGAAGGGUCUAAAUCCUAGACGACAGUCCAGAACUAUAGAUUUUAGUGGAUACUUGUUUUGACCUAGUAUUCAUUUGCCCUCUAUUCGUAUUGGCUAAGGUCACCCUGAUUUUCCUGGGAAAACCAACUCUCCCCCACUCUUCAUUCAGUUGGGGUUCACAUCCCCAAGUCCUAGGGGAAAUCUUAAUAUAGAUUUGUUCAAUAAAGCCAUUAGAUCCCUGGCCACAGUGAUUUGUUGAGCAAUGAGUGUGUAAUUCGCAAGAAGCUAGUUAGGGCUAAUGAGGAGUCUGUCUCUAGGCUAGUGUUGUUGAGCAGUCACAAUAAAAGCCAGAGCUUCUGGAGGUUAUUUUGUCCUCAUGACAGAAAAGCCUAUGCGACAAUAAAGUCAAUUCAGAGUAAAGCAGAACUGAGAUAGGGUCAGAGUAAAAGAGUAAAAAUUCAUGUAAGCUCUUGAAACCAGCCAUGCCUAAAACUAACUCUACCCCAAGACUAUUUAUUCUUUGAACCUCCCUGCCUCUAGUUAACUGUGGUACUUCAGCUUACAUGAGUUGGGAUUCUGUCACAUACAACCAAAGUUUUCUGAUUGCUACAUGGAUGUCCAGUAAGGACAUUAGUGUGAUGACCCUGGACAGUCAAUAGUCACCAAGGGCCAGGAGAAGAGCAGUGGCAAAUUUGGCCAUCUUAUGAUUUUGUCUAGGAGCUGGCAUUGAAUAUCAUACACUAUUGACUUUAACCAGAUCCUCUCUUUAAAUUAUUGAUUGAAUCUUCAUUUUUUUGUCUCUCAACCUCUGCUAAAUUAUUUAGUAUCCUCAUAGCCUUUUGAAACCAAUCACAUCUGAUUUCAGUUAUUCUAGACUUUAGGCAGUUUUUUUUAAUUUUUAUUUAUUUAUCUUGAGAGAGAGAAUCCCAAGCAGGCUCUACGCUGUCAGCACAGAGCCCCUACACAGGGCUCCAUGUCAGGAACUGGGAGAUCAUGACCUGAGCUGAAAUCGAGAGUCAAAUGCUUAACCAACUGAGCCACCCAGGCACCCCAGCUGUCUUAGUUUUUAAAGACUUAAAUACAUGGGUAUAAUUUGGUAUAACAGAACAUUUUAAUAAAUUGAUUGCAAGUGCUUGCCUGUUAUUGUCUUACUGUAUUUCACCCUUCUUCAUUUAUUUAUUCUUGUAUUGAGUUAUUUAUUAUUGAGUUAUGUAUCCUCUUUGUAUUUAAUUUGAAUACUCUAAAAAGAGAGAAAAUCAGGUUAUGAAUACUUAGAGUGGUAUAGUGUUUAUAUAGCCAUUUUAUUUCCAUUUUGAUACUUUAUUUGUAACUCUUAAAUUCUCCUUAAAAUACUUUGGUCGGGUCCUUGAUACAUACCGUUUUUAUUUGCAAAGAAAUUUAAUUCAAAUUUGACUAGAUACAAUUUCUAGCAUGCAAUGAAUCCUUAAGCAGUUAUUUUUCUAUUUUGUUUCUGAUAGAGUGUGUUUCACAAUGACAGAAGACAACAUGAUAAGAAAGGGAACUAA